GCGGUUAUUUAAGUCUGUCGUGAAAUCCCCGGGCUCAACCUGGGAAUGGCGAUGGAUACUGGGUGGCUAGAGUGUGUCAGAGGAUGGUGGAAUUCCCGGUGUAGCGGUGAAAUGCGUAGAGAUCGGGAGGAACAUCAGUGGCGAAGGCGGCCAUCUGGGACAACACUGACGCUGAAGCACGAAAGCGUGGGGAGCAAACAGGAUUAGAUACCCUGGUAGUCCACGCCCUAAACGAUGCGAACUGGAUGUUGGUCUCAACUCGGAGAUCAGUGUCGAAGCUAACGCGUUAAGUUCGCCGCCUGGGGAGUACGGUCGCAAGACUGAAACUCAAAGGAAUUGACGGGGGCCCGCACAAGCGGUGGAGUAUGUGGUUUAAUUCGAUGCAACGCGAAGAACCUUACCUGGCCUUGACAUGUCCGGAAUCCUGCAGAGAUGCGGGAGUGCCUUCGGGAAUCGGAACACAGGUGCUGCAUGGCUGUCGUCAGCUCGUGUCGUGAGAUGUUGGGUUAAGUCCCGCAACGAGCGCAACCCUUGUCCUUAGUUGCCAGCACGUAAUGGUGGGAACUCUAAGGAGACUGCCGGUGACAAACCGGAGGAAGGUGGGGAUGACGUCAAGUCCUCAUGGCCCUUACGGCCAGGGCUACACACGUACUACAAUGGUCGGUACAGAGGGUUGCAAUACCGCGAGGUGGAGCCAAUCCCAGAAAGCCGAUCCCAGUCCGGAUUGGAGUCUGCAACUCGACUCCAUGAAGUCGG
rnacentral:rRNA from 1 species